UCUGCAGCAUCUCUAGCGUGAAGGGUGCUGCUUGGGCUUCUGAUGUGGGGUGCCUGACAUGGCGAAGAGGGUUGGUGGUUGAGUUGUUGGGGAGAUGGGUCAUGAUUGAAGGCCUGAUUGCCAUUGGCAUAUUGUUGUUGGUGGUGGCGGCGGCGGUGGUGUCGGGCAAUGGCAAUGGCCUGUUGACGGAGUGGCUGCCGCUGCCUCGCGCUGCCGGCACAUCAUGGUUGUGCUUCCCCUCGUAGGUUGUUAUCACUGCCCUGAGGUCGUGGGAGGCUCUCUCGACAUGCUUUCUCACGGGACAUCCUGGGUUCGUGCACUUAUAGUAGCUCCUACAAGAAACCAUGAUAACAAAGACUCAGUGCCCAGCUCAAUCUCACUCAGUUUACCUUCUCACCAUUGCAUACAUUCAUGGAGAAAUGGGUUAAGCUUUUCCUAUCAGACAAACCUCUAGGCCAUAAUGUAUCUAAAAGGCAGACAUAAUGUGCAAAAUCCACUUUACAAAAAUGUUUAUAUAAACUAAGGGGUCUUCAGUUAGUAGAAGACAUUGAAUGAUGGGAACAACCUUUUUGAGACUUCGGAGCACAAAAUUAACUGAAAGCAUAAUAAAUACCUAAAAAAGGGUGGAAAAGUAAAAGCAAAGCAAGAUUCUAC
rnacentral:lncRNA from 1 species